GUAGAAUAUCAGGAUUAUCUGAAUACAAAGGAGACAUAUUCAAGAACAACUCGAAAGAACAUAUAACCUAUUUAAUAUACCUAACUAAGAGUGUAUACCAUAACCCUAUAUGUUUUUAAACUAAAUUAGUUAUUUUUCCAUAUGCAUGAGAAAUAUGUUUUUCAAGAAAUCUAAUCCAUAAUAAAAUUGGUAAUAAUUCACUAAAUAACCCUCAAUUAUUCAUCAAACCAAACUGCAAAAGCUAAUAUUACAGCUAGGGACAAAUUUGAAAUUUAUCAUAUUUUUUAAGGGUCAAAUUGUAACUUUUGUCAAAUUGAAGGGCCAAACUAAAAAUAUUAUAAAUCCAUGACUAUACUGAAAUUAUGACCAUAAUUAAUCCUCAUUUCUGUUCAGAAUAUCUCAUUAUGCUCCAGGGACCAUCCUGGAAUUUUUUUCCAAAUUUUUAGGGUCAAAUUGUAAUUUUUUUCAAAUUGAAGGACCAAAUUGAAAGUGUUAAAAUUUCAUAACUAUACAGGAAUUCUGCCCAUAAUUCAUCUUUUAUUCUGUUCAGAAUCUCGGAAUAUACUCGAGGGACCAAUCUGUAAUUUUCCAAAGUUUGGAGACUAAACUGUAAUUUUCACAAAUUGAGGGACCAAACCGAAAUUUUGUCAUCUUCAACCUCCAACCCAGAAUUUCAACAGAAAACCUACUGUUCUUUCCAUAUUUCUAACUCAAAAUUCACCAUUUACAUAAAUCAUAACUCAAAAUUAUCAUCUUUACCUACAAUCUUCCAUAAUCAACUAAAUAAUCAAUUACCCACAACAAUCAACCCUAUAACAUUCAAAUUAAUUCAUCAAUUAAACCCAAAAUAAAAUCUUCAAAACCCUAACAUUCAUUAAAACCGAAAUUUAAAGUUCAAGAAAACGUAUUAUACACAUUUAUACAUUUAAAAACCUAAAUCUUACCUUUAAACUUAUUUUCUUCAACUCCUUUCUAUUUCUCUUUCCCUCUUUUCUCUUCUUCUUCUUCUUUCUCACUUCACUCUCACGGUUUGCUCUCUAAGAACACAGCUCUCUCUCUCUCUCUCUUUUUUACUUCCUAUUUAUAUUUAUCAUCUCUUUAUCCAAUUACUACAAUACCUCUCAUUUAAUUAUACUUUUUCUUUAAGCCUCCAAGGGCUUUGUUAUCUUUUUCUAUUUCUUUUAAAACAAAACAUCACAUGAUUAGUACUUAUUGAUCAUCGAUC
rnacentral:lncRNA from 1 species